UGUGCGGCCCGGGCCCCUCUGGCGACUGCCGUUUAGGCAGCUGCGAUGUCGGACCGCAUCG
rfam:Sphingopyxis sp. LC363 contig25, whole genome shotgun sequence.